UACGUAGGGUGCAAGCGUUAAUCGGAAUUACUGGGCGUAAAGCGUGCGCAGGCGGUUGUGCAAGACAGAUGUGAAAUCCCCGGGCUCAACCUGGGAAUUGCAUUUGUGACUGCACGGCUAGAGUGUGUCAGGGAGGGGUAGUAACUCACGUGUAGCAGUGAAAUGCGUAGAGAUGUGGAGGAAUACCGAUGGCGAAGGCAGCCCCCUGGGAUAACACUGACGCUCAUGCACGAAAGCGUGGGGAGCAAACAGG
rnacentral:rRNA from 1 species